rnacentral:rRNA from 1 species
GACGAACCGUGCGAACGUUGUUCGGAAUCACUGGGCUUAAAGGGCGCGUAGGCGGUUCGCCAAGUCUGGGGUGAAAUCUUUCGGCUCAACCGGAAAAUUGCCUGGGAUACUGGCGGGCUCGAGGGAGGUAGGGGUUGCGGGAACUUCCAGUGGAGCGGUGAAAUGCGUUGAUAUUGGAAGGAACGCCAGUGGCGAAAGCGCGUAACGGGACCUCUUCUGACGAUGAGGCGCGAAAGCUAGGGGAGCAAACGGG